rnacentral:tRNA from 1 species
GAGGGUAUAGCUCAGUGGUAGAGUGCAUGCUUAGCAUGCAUGAGGUCCUAGGUUCAAUCCCCAGUACUUCCA